rnacentral:lncRNA from 10 species
GACGCGGCCACCAAGCCACCACGCAGGGGAAGGGCGGCGGAACCCACAGCUCGAGCUCAGGUGAUUCUGACGCAGGCGCUCCACGGAAACCCUCCGAGAAUUCUGGGGGCCGUGGGGCCGCCCAGCUCAGUCCGGAGCUCCGGAACUCGGGGAAGAGCGUCCGGGAGCCGGGUCUGGGUUCCGCACUCCGUCCGCCCCGAUGGCAGAGAGUGAGAUACGGACGCCCCGGGACGAGGGGCUCAGGACCCGGCUACGGACACCUGCCUCCAUCUCCCUCCAGGUAUUUCACCCCAAUAAUAAAAUAAUAAUGCCAGAAGCUGAAGAGUAAUCAGGACCUCAGGAUUACUCAUAGAUAACACAAGUGUGAAGAGAGGGGAGAGCAGCAAAGGCUGAGCUGCGUGUGCCUGGUCCCUUCCAGACUUUCCAGAUAACUUUGCCCCACGGAGGACAAGGAAAGCCAAAAGAGAGAAGCCAGGAUUGUUAGUCUUGGAAAAUGCCUCCAUAUAGAAACAUGAGCCGGAGAAUAAAUCACUUGCCUCUCUAACCAGUUGGAUUUGGUCCGUGAGUUCCUAGUUUUGUUCACCUGACUUAGUCCCUGACUUUUAAAGUCAAGUGCAUCAACAUGCUGCCAGUACUUUGAUGAACAUCUAUACAGGAUCCAUCUCUACAGCAGUGAAUUCCACCUGGGGUAAAGUAUGCAUGUAGGUUAGGAUGCUACAGUGGGACUCUGUCUGCUUUUUCUGUCUGUUUCUGCUAAGGCCUCCACACAUUAGAUGGUCAGUACUCUUUGUUCUAUGGGAAGGGCUAGAAUACCUAAACAGGACUUUCACGGAGGGAGCAACAAACCAGUUUUGUGGCUCUCAGCAAACAUCCAUCUCAAAGGUGAGUUUGGAAAUAAUGGAGAGUAUGUCAGUGUGUUUGUGUCUCAGGCCUACUUCCCACGCCUAUGGGGGAAGGGUGGGACUUAUCUCUCUCUUCCCUCAAGCCUGCUAAGAGGAGAUUAGACUAUAUUUGAGAUAAAUACCUCCAGCACAGUGACAGCCAUGCAGCUCAUGCCUGUGAAAUCAAAAGGCAAGAGGAUGCGGCUGGCUGGCUGCUCUGAGGGCAGAGAGAAAAGACCAGACAGCUCUUGGAACAGACUGUUCUUCCAGUGACGAUGGGGACAAAGAUGCAUGAGUGUAUCUCCAGGACUGGAUGUGAGCUGCAUGGGAGAAAAAGAGUGCAGGCCUGCAGCCCGGGAAAACCCAAAAGGAUGCCAUAAACCCAACAGGAAGAUGGGUUGUCAGGGCCCCAGGAGCUGAGAAAGGAAUAAAAAUGACAGAGAGAGAAAAGUACAUUGUCCACAUCAUAAAUAACACAGCUGAAUGUGCCCAAUGAGGUCCUCAGAGAACCCACAGAAGUGCCCAUGGGAACAGUUCUCUCUGGGACUCAAACCCAGGGAGAGGUGCUUUUAAACAUGCAAAGAGAGGGAACCAUCAUCAUAUUACAUUGCAGUGUCCACAUGAAUAAGACCCUAACUUACCUCAUAUUUCUCCUCCUUCCUCUGCUUUAAUCCAGGAGGAGCCAGAGACCUCUCAGUAAGUGAAGAAGAGGGGAAAUAGGUAAAAAGCCACUAUUCCCCAUGUUAGAUGAGGAAAUAGGAACAUUCUCCUCCUCUACCCAACACCCACUGUAGCUUUUAGUGGCUGGAGUCAGGAGAGAAAAGUUUUCAUGUUAAAUGAAUUUCAGAGGUUUGACUAUGACAUAGAAAUGGAUAUUUUAAUUACUGAAAUAAAACUGUUUUGUAAUUAGAGGUGACUGGAAGACAUUUUAUCCUCAGCAGAAGAAUAGAUAAGGAUAGGACCUUCCCUCCCCCUUGGACCCCACCAAGGUUUUAUCCAGAGGCAGAGGAAGAAGUAACCCUUUAUGUGAGUUUGAAUGGGCAGAAGAAGAAAAGGAUGAAGUUGUCUUCUAAUUGCACUCUAUGAAUGUUGCUUUUUUGUUAACAUAAAUGUCACAUAUAUUUUUAGCUGGUGUAACAAAAAAAAAAACAUCUCAAGCCGGCUUGCAUAAUAACAGCUUUGGGCACAGUCUGAUCAAGGCCCCGGUUCUGUUUGCUAGUGAUCCUCCUGAUUCUGCCCUCUCUCCAUGCUAGUUUCUUCCUCAGAUUGACAUUCCUCUUGGUCACCAGAUGCCUACAAUCAGCGGGUGCAACUCUCUGCUCCCUGCUCACUUCUGAAGGGGAGAGCAUGGAUACCAACCACAGAACAAAGCCCUGCAGUCUCCCGCUGAGUAGAACACCCACGAAGAAGUGUUGGCCAUUUCCCUAUUGCCAGGGAAAUAUCAUGUAUUGGUUGGAUUAGGCCUGUAUUAAUCCAGUUAAUGGAACAUAGUUAAACUAUCCCAGACCCUCCAUAGACACUAGAGAAAAGGUGAAUCCAACCCAAAUGUAAGACUGCUACUCAAUAGGACAGAAAAGGCAUGGAUGUCAGUGAAAUGGGAAAAAAAAUGUGUGCCAAAGGAGAUCAGGAAGGACUGAAUAGAAGACAUGGCCUUUGAAUUGAAGCCUUUAAUGAGGAAAGGGGAUUGACAUUGUAUGAGGGCCAGGGUGGAGAGCGGGUUGUGAAGAGGAUAGGGAAAAUGCAAGGACACUGCGGAUAUAAGAAUUAAUGGGAGAAUCAUGGGCCACAAAGCAGCAGGAUUAUAUUACAGAGAUUGUAAGUAGUGUUUAUUGAAGCACAGGGUACUGGGGAGGUGGAGGAAAGAUGAAACUGUUAAGGAAUUUAGACACAGCAUGUAGUGGUUGGCAGGAAACAGAUGACACUCUCAAACAGGGUAGUUGAGGAGAGCUAAUAAAGGGACCAUUUACCAAGGUGUAGUUAGGAUUAAGAGAAAGCAAACUGGGAUGGUGCUGUGCUAUGGGCUAGCAACAGCAGGAAGUCAUUUCUGUCCCUAGGUCUGAAGAGGGAAGCAGGGGAGCCAACACCAAGGAACCAGAGAUCUUAGAGUCUGAAAGUCUGCAUGAUAGAAGCCAUGGCCUUUAGUAGAGGGAUCUUGCCUACUCUUAGCAGCCUGGCUUGGAGGGGCCUGGGGAAAUAAUACCCCAACCUCUCUCCUCUUCUUCAAUAUUGAUGACUUCCAUUGGUUAAUAUCAAACUGGAAGUUGGAGAGAAAGGGAGUCUAUCUAUACAAGUCAGCACCCUGUAGCCCAGAAGAGAGUAAAAAGGGGGUAAAAAGCAAUUUCCGAGGGACAAACAGAAAACACCCAGCACAGAAGGAGGAACAAACAUUUGGAGGAACAAACAGAAAAUAUCAGAAAACAUUUUAAUCCUGGGUCCUGGGACGUCAUGGAAGGUUUUGAAGUUAGGAGCACCGCCAUCCUCUAGGGGGAGCUCAAGCAUUUCUCUCCACUCAUCCCAAAGGCGGUGCAUCAAAAGAUCAGGGUGAAACUGACUUCAAGGAAAGAGCCCUCGGCUAGAGGAAGAAGCCUGGAGAAGUAAAGGGAUUGCUCCUGGAAUUGGAAAUCUACCCUUUGCACUUCUAUUUACUGCAUUUGGAUUGAUUUGCAAGAAUAACCAUUAAAAUAAUCAAAGCUAAAAAUUAAGAGGCUGAUAGAACCUGGAUUUGAGCCCAUUGACAAAGGACCACUCUCUGCUCUGUUCUGUUCUCAUGCUGCUGGUUUAGUCAGCUGAGUCAAAGGUUGCCUUUGCUUAGAAGGCCUAACAAAACCAGAGCAGGGUCCAUGGAAAAGGAGACAUGAAAAGGGACAUAUUUCCUGGUACAACGGAGUAAGUGUACUCACACCACCCUGUUCCUCCCACUGAAUGCGGCUAAAAAACCUGGGCAGAAUAAGUGGAGCAUCUGAGGACUCUGAAAAGUAAAUAAUAGCAGGCAGAUUGGAGAUGAAGACCAAAAUGCAAACCUUUCAUUGGAGAACAGUCUUCCCCCACACCAUCCCAUAGAAAUACUGUUCACUAUAUCUGGUUCAGGAGGACUGACUCUCCCAACUCCUUUCUCCAGGAGUGGAUACAUGAUCCAGGACUGGCCAGAAUUCUACAUCAAGCAGCCCGUAGGCACGGAGGAGAAUACAAAUUAGAGGAUCAGCCAGCAAACUUGAUGGGUGAUGAGAACUGUUCAAGACAACCCUGAAGAUGUUGCUUAUUUGAUAAGGUUGCUGGUGCUGCUGCUACUGAAGAUAGAACAACAGUUAAGCUUUCUGUGUAUGUGUGUGUUUUCCAUCUGUUUUUCUUUGUAAUCAGUCGGUAUAAAAGUGAGCAGUGAAGAAUCGGGGGGAAAUAAAUGUACUUUUUAAACAUGUUAAAUUUGGAAAAUAUCUAGAGCUCAGAAGAAAAGUGUAAACUUAAGUUAGAGAUUUGAGAGUUAGUGAAGCUCUAAGAGGGGCAGAGUGUAAAGGUGAGGGCAACAAGUAUAUGUGCACACACAAUCACACACAUACACCGGUGGCAGGCAAAGAAAGAUUAAAUCCCUUCUUAGCAAAACUUCAAUUCUGAGAAGAUUUUUCCUAUCUGAAUUUGUUGAACAAUAUUAGAGAUUUUUUUUUUCUAACCACUUCAUAAAUAAUAAAACUGAGCAACAGAGAGGAUGGGUGGCUGACUUGUUAAGGAACUCCUAAUUAGUGCUAAAGAGUCUUAAAACCUAGGUUUCUGGGCUCCCAAUUCCAGGUUCCUUGGAAGUCAAGAGAAGACAAAAACAUACGAUCAUUUACUUUAUCCCUAACUUCACUUGAAUAAAACAUUCCAUAAGAUUAAGGUUAAUGCUUCCUUUGUCUGACACAUCUAUUUAAGCCAUAUGUCUGGUUAGUUUCAGCACGUUACUAGGCCAGUUCAGCAAUGCUCGAAAGCAAUUCAAUUUUCAAAGAACAGUUCUCGAGAUACAUACAAUAAAGCUCAGAUUAACCAGGAAUCAUCGAACCAGAGUUGUUUUACUUUCUACUUAUAAAGAACAUAAGAAAGCACUCUUGAUCUAAGGCAUGACACUGAGCUGGCUCACACCUGCUCUGAUCUUUAUUACUUUCUGUAUGUAAAAUUCUCACAGUACAGUAACUGUGAGGAAAAUAAUAAUUUUGUGCACAAUACUUUAGGUAGGAAGGAAACUAUAUUAAUAAUAAUUCAAUUUAAGUAGAAAUAUAAGUAAACUUAAUUACAGGCUUUUGAAAAUCCAAGCCUAUUUAUUUUAUCCAGUUUUAAAAUUCAAUUCCUAUUUAUUAACUAUUUAAACCUACUCUGUGGAGCAUACUUAUACCCCUCGAAAUUAUCAGAAUUAAGAAAAAUUCAGUAAUUCCUGUGUCAAAAAUAUUCUGUAAAAGUAAACUGUUCAACAGAGAAAAAAAAAAACAAAAAUACUGCAUGAAGCACAUAUGGUAAACAAAAAAACUGAAGUGAUUAUCAUAAUCAUGAAUUUUAAGAAACUGAAAAUGAUUAUCAAGGUAAACAAUAUAUGAAAUAUAACAAAUCCAAACAAGAUCAUGUACCUACAAAACCAAUUUUUCUAAAUACCAUCCUAACUUUUAAUAGCAGAAAAUAACAUUGUUUACUGCCUAAAACAUUGUACAGAAGAGAGAGCUCUAAAAUACUAAUCACAAGCCAAUAAAUCUUACCUUCUACAACAAAUUGCCCACUUCUGAAAUUUGUUUUCAUUACUACUUUUCUAUGUGCACUAACUUAAAGAAUUGCAAUGGUACAGUAAAAGAUACUUUGCAACUAGAAACAAAAUUCUAGAUUGUUUUCCAAAGUUGGGUACUUGCAUAUUAAAUUUUCUCAAAAGGAGACCCACCUGUGUAAUGUUCUUAUCUAUCUGGAACAGGGGUUGGUAAACUUUUUCUGUGAAGUGCCAGACAGUAAAAUAUUUUAGGUUUUGUGAAUUAUACAGUCUGUCAUAAUUAUACAACUCUGCCCUUACAGUGAAAAAUCUGCCACAGGUAUUACUUAAAUGAAUGGGCAACGCUGCAUUCCAGUAACAACUUAUUUCCAAAAAUAGACAACAGGCUAGAUUUGGCCCAUAAGCUGUAGUUUGCUGAUCCUUCACCUAGAAAACCAAAUUUUCUCUCAAUUUCUCAUUUCCAGGAAUGUGUAUUUAUUUAUUCAGGAAAAAAAAAUCUACUAAUGGUAAAAACUGGUGUUAGAAUGAUAUACUUUAUAAAUAGAAAAAAACUACAGAAUGUUUUCUCUAGAGACCUGUAAGAGUGAAGAUCUGACUAAUAAAUGAAGGGAAAAAGGUCUCUUCAGAGAUGUUUGAGUCUAGCAUUUGACAAAGUCUAAAUGGAUUAUUUCUUCUAUUUUAGCUAAGCAAGGUCACCCAAUAAGGGUUAAAUAAUUUUGACACCCAUAGGUAGUUCUAAAACUAUUCCAUAUUAGGGCAGAAACACAGUGAUAAAAUGAAAUCUUUCAUUAAAUAUAUUAACAUAGUUCUAUAUUUUGGCUGAUGUUCUGUACCACCUAAGACAAUGCUCCACCAACAAGGUUGAAAGACAUUUAUGGUAACAGCAACAUAAUUACUGCAACUCUUGGUGUAUAAUGACAACUGUAUUAACGAGAUAUGAUUUACUCCCUGGAUAACUCCAAGAACAUAGGACACAGAAUAAAGAAGUAAACAUCUCAAACCUUGAUAAAGCAACAACUACAAACUUUCCUUUGCCACUCUCUUAAGUGCACCUUUACUUCCCUGAAGUAUCUGCUCCCCUAGCCACAUGGGCCCAGAAACUCAGAGGUUUCAUAUGUAACUGUGCAUCAGAAAAAAGAGCCUGGGAUGGAAAAAAAGAUGCCUGGGUGCAGAGGUGUGUGCAUAUAUGUGUCUGCCUGCCUGUCUUAAAAGUUUAUGAUUGCUUUGAUAUUUAAUAUAAAGCUUGGAACACAAUCAGACUGAGAAAUAUAAUAAGUAUAGUACACCUAAAGCCAUCUGAUAUCCCUCUAAAUGAAAAAAACAAUUAUUUAAAUAUUGGUAAAUAAAAACGAAUAGGAUACACAUUACCCAUGAGAUAAACUUGUCGAAAAAGUUUAAUAUGAAGCUAAUCAGUAGCAAUCAAUCAGACAAAUCUGGAAUGUAGAACCCUUCAUAAGACAAUUCACCUGGAUUUUUCAUAAGUCAAUGUCAUAAAAAAUAAAGGCAGGGAAUGAAUACAGGUUGGAGACUAGACUCAUAACACACAUACUGUCAAUAAUUAUUUCUUGGAUUAAAAAAGCUAUAAAGGAAAUUUUGGGGGCAACCAGAGAAAUCUGAAUACUAACUGUCUGUUAGAUAAUAUGGUAUCAAUGUUAAAUUUCUUGGAUAAUAAAGUAUGAUUAUAUACGGGAAUUCUUAGGUACAUGCUGAAGUAUUUAGGGAUAAAACACUGGUAUCUGCCAUUUUCAAACGGCUCAGAAAAAAGUUUUAUUAAUAUACAGAUAAAGUAGUGUCAUAAAAUAUUAAGUGGUAAAUCCAGGUGAAAGAUUUUCAUGUAUUAAUUUUUCAACUUGUCUGUAGGUUUGAAUUUUUCAAAUUUAAAAUUUUGAGGGAAGGGGGUUUAUCAGGAUAAAGUCUUAGUUUGGCUCCUUCUUGUGGGGUAUAAACAGAUACUUACUUUCCAUUUCAGCUUCCCUUAGUUUAUUACUCUUUCAGUACCAGACUAUUAUCAAUCCCUUAGUUUAUUCCUCUUUUAGUACCAGAUUAUAAUCACUGAGGCCUCAUUUGGUGAAUUCUAUCAAGGGUCAUCUUGGGAGUCACCUCCUUCAGGCAAUUUUUCUUGACUUUCCAGGGUAGGCUAAGGACCCUGUUAAGACAGUUUGUGUUUUACUACCAUGUAGAAAUUUCCAACUACUUUUUUUUGUCCUUUACUAGGCUGCAGGUUCUGGAGGUUCCAGCAUAGUUCUGACACAUGGUAGGCCUUCCAUAAAGGCUUGUGGAACAUUUACCAUCUAGGGCUAGGUGGUAAGGAGCACCAGAGAGAGAGGCAUAGUUUGAAAUCCACAGAUACAGGGAGGAAGAGGCAUUUUUAUUGUAUCAGGCCUAAGGCUAGGCAAUUUAUGGUUACCAUUUUAUUCAGGUAGGUAAUUUUUAAAAAGAAGAGUUCUAGCUGUCCCUCUAUGUAAAUUUAAUAUCUUAAUGUUAGCGAGUCACUUGGAACACUUUGCUUUACAUCAUGCGGCCUCUGCUUAUUAGUCGUAGAGAAGUUAUUUAAACUCUAAGGCAGUUUUCACACCUGUAAAACAGGGACAGUUCUUACUGUGCCUGUUUCACCACAUUUUAAAAAAUAUCAAAUGAAAAUAUACUUAAGUAAAUACGGAAAAAACAGGCAUUAAGUGGAAAGUCUGCACUGUUUUCUCCCUUAAUUCAUCCUCUCUGCAGCUUCUCAAGGUUCCUCUAGUCCUUCGCUGGCUGGAGACCAAAUGGAAAAGAUAGGUCUCUGUCUACUUCAAGGCUAACCUUAGGUAGCUCUGUAAAUUUUGGGGUUUACAUCUUUAAUGCCUCCAAUAUAUUGAGAAUGCGCCAUGAAUUCUCAGUAAGAUUUAUAGCUUAUAAGGCUUUUAGAAAGUUUGCUAUUUACUAAAAACCUGAAAGAAAAUGUUAUUUUAGUCAAUUAUUGAAAAUUACAACAUUUAUUGGUUCAACGAUUAAUCAAUAGUAUACUUUUCCUACUUCUACUGAAACUUAACAGAACAUUUCUUAUCUAUGAUGCAAUUUUUAACUAAAUUGUCUAUACAAAUGGAAAAAAAAAACACCCCAAACCAUAAAUACCACAGAAACUUUUUAAAUUUACACAGUGAUUUCCCCUGAAACCACUGCACAACCAAGCAAAAAAAAAAAAAAAAAAAAAAAAUCAAAGCAAGGCAAAGUUCAGGUUAAGAAGGCAAGCAACUGGCUAUACAUACUGAAAACUUGUCUUCAGGCUACUAACUUACUUUCCAAAUUGGACAAAAGUCAAAAUGCUAAAUUUAUUCUUAGCUUUGAAAAUGCAAUUUCCUGGUUCUGUUAGAUGAGUUUCAAAUCACAUGCUUUUAGGAAACAUGCAAUAUAAACAUGUUUAAAGGCAUAUACUCAAAAAUUUAUAGUAGUUUCACAAGUUCUAAGCUACAAUUUUAUUCCCCAUAUUAACUAUCAGAGUUAGCACAGAGACAAGCUCACAGAUUGCAUCUAAUCUUUGGUUGCAAUUGUUCCACCUGUUAUCUAGCCCUCUAAGAAAUAAAACAACAACGACAACACUUUGAGGUCUCAAUCCACUUUACGAAAAGAAAGCUUUAUGAAAAAGCCUGAACAAUGAAUUCAAACAUUAAGGAGAAAAUGAGAAACGUUAGGUGUGUGAAGUAGGAAAUGUUAAUUUCAUGCACUUAGGAACACACACUCACACCCCACAGUAGUAGAAGCAGUAGAAGAGGAAAACACUACAUGUGUAGGGGUAGAAAUAUUUGUUACAUCAUGAUGCUGGCUGGCGAUGGAGGGUUGCCGCCUUAGAGCCCCCUGAAUGGAACUUCCACUCUGGAAAGCAUUCACUACAUCCAUCUGCAAGGAAUCAGAGAUUGUGACAGCUUGCUCAGCAAGAGAGAGAGAGAACAAGAGAAAGGACCAUUCCAUCUAUCAACAUAUAAAAAGAAAAAGGCACUUUUUACACAGCAUAUAGGCAAGAAUAGCAUUUUGAGAUGAAGUGGGGGAUGGGGGAGCUAGGAAAAAAGGAGCUUAGGGGCAUAUAGACACAUUCUUUCAUAAUCAGUUAAAAGUCUCACUCAUUCCAGGCACCAGUAUUACUUUUCAAGAGAAUACAAUUUGUGGGUUGGGAAGGCUAGAGAGGAAGUUUAAGGAGCACACUCGAACCUCCUCCCCAGGUCAAAAAGCCCUGGCUCCCAUCAUCUCUCCUACCUCUCUACCAGGCCCAUACCUGUGUUUGGAUUCUGUUCAGACCUCUAAACCACAAGAUUUGGCCACGCCGCAACUCCCUUUCAGCGUGAUCAAUCUCUUCAACAUCCUCUGCUAAUUCCUCCUCAGGUAUUUCUUCCUUUUGUGUUCCAUGACCAGCUUCUUUGAGGAAUUUUAAACGGCUAGUUGGAAUUGUUGAAAUAAGCUACAACACAGGGGAAUGAACUUAGAAAUAAAUCAUAUCAAGUAAAGGUAAGCUGAUCAACUGUAAUACUAAAGGUAUUAAAAGUGGUGAGAGUAUCCGACUAUCUUUACCAAUGAAGUAAUGGGAUCCUGUUGAUUAGUCUUUCUCUCCCAGAGCAAAAUACAUUCUUCUCUUAGCUACACAAAAGAUUUGAGUUUGAAGGAUAAAAAGUUUUCCUAAAUGGAAAUUAACCUGAUUACAUUUUUCAUAUUUUCAUCAGGACAUUCAAGACAGUACAUUGUAAAACCAUGCUCUGAUAUAUGUAUUUACUUAAAAAGUCCUAUUUAUUUUGAAUACAAUGAAAAUGGCAGGUGGUCUUACUAGAUGCAAAACACGUUUACAUUUCAUUAAUGCUGUCAGAGUUCAAUGAGAAAAAAUGUAUAAAAUUUUUAAAAAAAUCAUUAAGGUUACACUGAAAAUAGUUUUGUUACAUAUUUUUUUUAAAAUGCAACAGUUUAAAAUUGGAUUAGUACUGAUUGAUGACGCCAAACAAAAACAGAUGCCCUAGAAAACACAAAGGAUACAAGAAACACCAAUACACGUAUAUUAGCUUAUGUGUUAACAUCCAUUCUCUAAGGCAGCAGUUGGGUUUAUCAGGGAGAAACAAGCAUGUAGUCAGCUACAGAAUUCUGCUUGGAGAACUUCUAGUACACCCACCUCAUUUCACCAAGGUGAAAUAGGCUUCAAGGCACAUAAAGUGACUUGCUCAUGGAGUGACUAGGAACCUAGGUCUCCUGACCACCAAAGGCAGUGCUUGUUCUACCAUGGUACACUUAGUAUGGGUCUUACUUAAAAGAUGAUCUCUAUUAAUGAGGUACUCAAAAUAGAUAAGAAACCUCAGAAUCUAGAAACAUAGUUAAGAAAAAGAAGAGACACAAAGAUGUAAAGAUUGGGCUACAUUUAAGGAAAACCUGAAAGUCUGGUUUCACUGAUUUGCAGAAUGACAAUAAAUUAGCUCAUGCAAAUUAUAUGCCAUAAUAUAUAUUAACCUUCAUCUAUGAAAAUGUUAGAUUUUCUAUAAAUUAGUUUUAUAGUAAUGGGCUUAAAAUGAACAAUGCAUAAAUCACUGUCACAUUUAAAAAAUAAUGACAUGCAUUUGCAAGUAAGCUGCCUAUAGUAAAUAUGAGGUAUAUCUCUUAUUUCAGGCACUUUAUUUCAUAUAUACACUGUUAAAGCUAUUCAAUUCAAAUCUAAAACAUCAUUUUGUGACCCCUUUUUCCAGGUAACAUUAUUUUUAUAAAAACAUUCUCUAAGGUCAGUUUUUCCUAUGCUGCAUAUUGGAUUAAAUUACAGAACAAAAUGACAAUGUAUUUUUUUUUUUUUUUUUGAGAUGAAGUCUCGCUCUUCUCUCCCUGGCUAGAGUGCAAUGGCGCGAUCUUGGCUCACUGCAACCUCUGCCUCCUGGGUUCAAGCGAUUCUCCUGCCUCAGCCUCCCAAGUAGCUGGGAUUACAGGCGCCUGCCACCAUGCCCAGCUAAUUUUUAUACUUUUAGUAGAGACGGGGUUUCACCAUGUUGGCCAGGCUGGUCUCUAACUCCUUACCUCAGGUGAUCCACCCGCCUCGGCCUCCCAAAGUGCUGGGAUUACAGGCGUGAGCCACCGCACCCGGCCAUGUAUUUUUUACAUUGUUGUAAAAAAUUUUUUUCUGAAAAUGUAAAAAUAGGUUAUAGAGUAAAAGAUACAGAUAUUAGCAUCCUAACCAGUUAUAAAUACAUCAUUUUUAAAAACCGCUACAAAACUUCUAAAAAACAAGUUAAAAAAACACAUAAAAAGUUAGGAUAGUAUUUUAUAGUACAGGCAUAAUCAUAAUGAACAAGUGACAUACUGGAACUAAUACGACAUUAAAAAAACUUAUCUUUGAAUGCCCUCUCUUUACUCACCACAUUAACCAUUUAGAAUCAAGUAAUGAAACUGUUAAAGAAAAUACACACUAGAAAUUAAAAAAAAAAAUCACUUUAGGUUUAAACAAAAACUGAUGAAAUUUUUACCUGGCCCCAGAGUAAUGUUCCCAUUCCUAGGAAUAUUGACCAUAGCCACUGUUCUAUUGAAAGUUCUGAACAACUGAAAGGUUUUCCACCAAACUGCACAAUUAUUAUCUGGAGGAAUAAUCAAGAGUAAAUUUACUUAAAUCUUAAAUUUUAAAAUUCAUAUACUUAAAAAAAUAUCAAAUUUAUGUCCUCUAAAACAAGGUGAACAACCACUAUUCUGAUGAAUUGUAUUAUAUUAGUCACAACUGAAAAUAAGACAACUGAAAUAGACCUUUCCUCUUUCCCCUCCAGUCCACUUUGCCUCUUAGAAAAAAAGACAACUGAAAUAAAGUAAAAUCUCUGCCCAAUAUUUUUGAUGCAUGCGUAUUUCAUGUUUAAAUUACGCUUACUAAAAAGUAAAAUUCUUAUGACCAAGAAUAAUAAUUUUAUACUGUUUCCAAUAUAACCCCAAGCAACUACAUUCCCCUGUAUUUAGUACAACUCUUCAAAUAAUCUGUGCCUUUCUCAAAAUAUAGUACUCUUUUGUAGAAAAGACUGUAUGUUACUGGAAAAAUGCACAAUAUUAAAAAAAUUCCACAUAGCUGUUUAUUUCUAGUUAACAUUUAGACAUACUAAGAUAAACACAGACUAUAUGAGAAGAAAGGCAACUUGGAAAGUUCUAUGAAAUAUGGGCUAACUCAGGUGAGGUGAUCUCAGAUUUGCUCUCCUUUAUGAAAAGAGUGAGGUCUGAUGAUGAAUAUAAAUUCAUAAUACAGUGCUUAUGUUUUGCUUGUUAUUCUAAAAGGCCUAAAAUAGUGUGCAUGGAAAUAUUAAGAAUUAACUGGGGUUGGGUGUGGUGACUCAUACCUGUAAUUCUAGCACUUUUGGAGGCUGAGGUGAGAGGACUGCUUGAGCCCAGGAGUUCAAGACCAGCCUAGGCAACAUAGCAAGACCCUGUCUUAAUUAAAAAAUAAAUAAUUUUUUAAAAAAAGAAUCAAUUAACAAUAUUCACCCUCCUGUGAGUCUGACAGGCCUCUCUUUGAUAUGGCAGUUAACUAGUUCCCAAAUAUUAAAAUCAAAAAUAAUUUUGGUAGUUAACAUUUUAAAACCUUAAAGUUACAAUUCCUUUCUUUUUAGCUCUACUUUAUUCAAAUUCAAGUCAUUUUCACUUCUCGGUUCCACUAUUUUUUAAGUUAAUUUGUGCACUUGUACAGAUAGAUUUCCAACUGCUUUGUUAGUAGCCCAAUUAGAUUACAACUGAUUUGACAAUCAGGUCUGGAUUUUAGUAGAGAUAUAAAACUGAAGUAAUUUUCUUUUAUAAAUCAAGAAAAUAAUGAGCAUGAAGAAUUCAAUAUGUAUUUGUACAAGUGAUCUUAAUUUUUUUUAAAAUUUAAACCUGAUCUUUUUUUUGGUAUAAUGUGGGAUGUAAAAAGAAUACUAAAAUGCUGGGAAACAAUUAAUUGAUUGGCUGACUUUGUUUCCUAAGAAAUAAUAUCUUUCACUUUACAGUUGGAAGAAAUAAAACUGUUUGUCUAGUUGGUUGUGGCAUUUACUUCUAAGAACAGGAGAUUCAGUUCCCAUAUUCUUUAACAUAUACCUUAAAUCACCAUGAUAUUAUAUAUGUCACCAAGGCAACAGUUCCACACAUGUUCCACACAAGUGAUUGCUAGAACAAGCUGUUUACCUAAUGUCUCCCAUUUAACAGGCAAAUUUGAAACUAUCUUUUCCAAUUACCCACCUGUACCACAAAAGUGCCUAAAACAAUUGUGCAGAAGAUGGCAUUGUUAAAGAUUCCUUCGAAUACAUUUCUUUCACCAUGAAUUUUCCGGG